GGAAGGAUCAUUAAUGAAUGAAUGUAGAGUUGGUUGUAGCUGGCCUUUCCAAAAGGCAUGUGCACGCCUUCUCUUUCAUCCACACACCCCUGUGCACCUGUAAGACGGAGACUAGUGCCUUUCACGAGGACGGUUUCCGUCUGCUAACACAUAAAACCAAAUUAAUUAAAUUGAAUGUAAUCUGAUGUAACGCAUCUAAUACAAAGUUUCAACAACGGAUCUCUUGGCUCUCGCAUCGAUGAAGAACGCAGCGAAAUGCGAUAAGUAAUGUGAAUUGCAGAAUUCAGUGAAUCAUCGAAUCUUUGAACGCACCUUGCGCUCCUUGGUAUUCCUCGGAGCAUGCCUGUUUGAGUAUCAUGAAAUUCUCAAAGCAAGUCUUUUUUGUUAAUUCAAUGAGACUUGCUUUGGACUUGGAGGUCUGCAGAUUCACGUCUGCUCCUCUUAAAUGCAUUAGCUGGAUCUCCAUGAACUUGGUUCCACUCGGCGUGAUAAGUAUCACUCGCUGAGGACACCCGUAAAAAAGGUGGCCAGGAUUGAGGAUGAGCCGCUUCUAAUAGUCCAUUUGCUUGGACAAAUUAAAUUUAAUGAUCUGAUCUCAAAUCAGGUAGGACUACCCGCUGAACUUAAGCAUAUCAAUAAGCGGAGGAAAAGAAACUAACAAGGAUUCCCCUAGUAACGGCGAGUGAAGCGGGAAGAGCUCAAAUUUAAAAUCUGGCGGUGUAUUCCGUCCGAGUUGUAGUCUAGAGAAGCGUCAUCCGCGCCGGACCAUGUACAAGUCUCUUGGAACAGAGCGUCAUAGAGGGUGAGAAUCCCGUCCUUGACAUGGACUCCCGGUGCUUUGUGUUGUGCUCUCAACGAGUCGAGUUGUUUGGGAAUGCAGCUCAAAAUGGGUGGUAAAUUCCAUCUAAAGCUAAAUAUUGGCGAGAGACCGAUAGCGAACAAGUACCGUGAGGGAAAGAUGAAAAGCACUUUGGAGAGAGAGUUAAACAGUACGUGAAAUUGUUGAAAUGGAAACGCUUGAAGUCAGUCGCGUUCUCUGGGAUUCAGCCUUGCUUCUGCUUGGUGCAUUUCCUAGUCUACGGGCCAGCAUGGAUUUUGACCGUUGGAAAAGGGCUGGAGGAAUGUGGCACCCUCGGGUGUGUUAUAGCCUCCUGUCGCAUGCAUCGGUUGGGAUCGAGGACCUCAGUGCACGCUUUUGUUGUGCUUUGAUGCUGGCGUAAUGGCUUUAAACGACCCGUCUUGAAACACGGACCAAGGAGUCUAACAUGUCUGCAAGUGUUUGGGUGAAAAACUCGAGCGCGUAAUGAAAGUGAUAGUUGGGAACCUUUCACGAGGGGCACCGACGCCCGGACCAGACCUUCUGUGACGGAUCCGAGGUAGAGCAUAUAUGUUGGGACCCGAAAGAUGGUGAACUAUGCCUGCAUAGGGUGAAGCCAGAGGAAACUCUGGUGGAGGCUCGUAGCGAUUCUGACGUGCAAAUCGAUCGUCAAAUGUGGGUAUAGGGGCGAAAGACUAAUCGAACCAUCUAGUAGCUGGUUCCUGC
rnacentral:misc_RNA from 1 species